AUUGAACGCUGGCGGCAUGCCUUACACAUGCAAGUCGAACGGUAACAGGUCUUCGGAUGCUGACGAGUGGCGAACGGGUGAGUAAUACAUCGGAACGUGCCCGAUCGUGGGGGAUAACGGAGCGAAAGCUUUGCUAAUACCGCAUACGAUCUACGGAUGAAAGCAGGGGACCGCAAGGCCUUGCGCGGACGGAGCGGCCGAUGGCAGAUUAGGUAGUUGGUGGGAUAAAAGCUUACCAAGCCGACGAUCUGGAGCUGGUCUGAGAGGACGACCAGCCACACUGGGACUGAGACACGGCCCAGACUCCUACGGGAGGCAGCAGUGGGGAAUUUUGGACAAUGGGCGAAAGCCUGAUCCAGCCAUGCCGCGUGCAGGAUGAAGGCCUUCGGGUUGUAGACUGCUUUUGUACGGAACGAAAAGACUCUUUCUAAUAAAGAGGGUCCAUGACGGUACCGUAAGAAUAAGCCCCGGCUAACUACGUG
rnacentral:rRNA from 1 species